UCUCCGUUGGUGAACCAGCGGAGGGAUCAUUACUGAGUUACCGCCCUACAACCCUUUGUGAACAUACCUAACUGUUGCUUCGGCGGGCAGAGGUCCCUCGCGGAUCUCUCCCGGCAACGCCCUCACGGGCGGAGCGCCCGCCGGAGGAUACCAAACUCUAUUUUAACGACGUUUCUUCUGAGUGGCACAAGCAAAUAAUUAAAACUUUUAACAACGGAUCUCUUGGUUCU
rnacentral:misc_RNA from 1 species